rnacentral:lncRNA from 1 species
CCUUGGGAUCUGCCUGCCUUGGCCUCCCAAAGUGCUGGGAUUACAGGCGUGAGCCACUGCACCUGGCAUAAUUUUGGCUACUCUUAAUCAACCCCAGAAGGUUUAAUAAGAACUUUGAUUAGCUACUUUCUAGCUUCAUGAAUUUACCAAGCUAUUCCUGGUUUUGCACCUUUAAGAAACUCAUUUUUUAAAUCUGAUGAAUAUAUGUCCAUAAGAAGCUUUACUUGGUUAAAAUUAAAUACAUACAAAAUUGACAGAAAAAUUAUUUUGUCAAAGAAAAAUGAACGAAGAGUAGUGUCAUUUUUCAUUGUCACAUUCAUUUCUCUAAGAAAUGGAUCUGUCCUUCAACAUCUCCUCCUAGCCCAUACUGUUUGAAUAUAGAGGGCUCUUGGGCCAUGGUCCGGGGAUUAUUUAUAAUCAGCAACAAGGGGUUACAGUGUCAUGGCUUACAAUUUGGUGGGGUGGGACCAGGGACUAGUUGGAGUUUUUUGUUUUGGUCGUCAUAAUUUAUUUGAAGCAGGGAGCUUGGCUCUCCACCCUUUGUACUUAUUAGUCCACCAAACAUCUGCCCAGUCACCACUGGGACUUUUAACACUCCAUACUUAUACAUGCUUGAUUUUUUGUGGUAUAGACAUAGACACUUAUCAACAUGGGCUAGCUUCUUUUGACCUUGCUCAUCUCCAUACGGGAUGACUGAACAGGCAUCAAACUGAAGGGUUAAAAAAUGACUAGCCUGAGUUACACUGAUGACAAGAUGACCUUCUGUUGAAAAGAAAAAAGAGAAUAAAUAAGUGAUUAUUAAGCUCUUUUUAGAGUUAAUUUGGUGGGGGUGGGCUGUGGAGUGACAGUUCAUGAUUCUGGAGGUGGCGGCACCUUCUUGACUCGGGUGUGAUGAGUCCAUCCUCUUUCUGUUGUCCAGACUGCAGUCUCAGUACAUAGGAGCACUAGGUAGGGUCCUUCCCAGGCUGGUUCGAGCUUCCUUUUCUUCUACCCUUGGAUGAGAACAUGGUCUCAAGGCCAAUGCUGAUGUUCUGGAAACUCCAGGGGUGAUGCCUGUGCUAGGAGACCUUUAGUCCCAAGGGAAAAGAAGGUAGAGCCUAGACCAAGUAUAUAAUUUUUGAGGAAAUGAUCCUUUGUUUCAAACAUAGGGAUGUCAGCAAUGGAGUGUAAGUAGGGCAUUCCAUAGAGCGUUUCCUCAGGUGACAGGCCAAUAUCUUUCCAAGGGGCAGUCCGGAUUCUUAACCAAGCAAUAGGAGUAUAUUUAGUCCAUGGCAAUCGAGUUUCUAAAACUAAGUUAAGUGGUUUAUUAGAGUCUGAUUCAUCCACUCUACUCUUCCUGUGGAGGAUGGAUGCCAAGGAGUAUGGUAUUCCCAAUGUAUAUCUAGUACCUGUGCUAACUUCUUAAUGACAUGCACAGUGAAAUGGGUUGCAGUAUCUGAAUCAGUAUUUUCUAUUAGUUCAAAUCUGGGUAUGAUGUUUUCAAUUAGCGCUUUAACUACAUUACUGGAGGUUGCACGUGAGAAUGGGAUUGCCUCUACCCAGUGGGUAAAAUGGUCUAUUAUUACUAAUAAGUAUAACUACCAAUUGGAGGCAUUUCAGUGUAAUUGAUCUGAACACUUUGAAAUGGUCUCAGUGCUGGAUUUCUUCCACCAAGGCGCAAUUUCCUUAGAUCCUGCUUAUUAGCUUUUUUUACAUGUUAAGCAACUAUCUAUAACUUGUUUGGCCAGGGUGUAAAUUCUUAUACACCCAUAAACCCGGAGAACUGCAUUGCACAUUGCUUGGGGUCCCCAAUGGGUCCCUUGAUGUAAUUGAGACAAGACUUCCCUCAUGAGAGGUUUUGACAACAUUUCCCUUUGAUCUGAUAAUAUCCAUUUCCUAUCCGCAUUUUCUUUAGCUCCUAUUUUUAUCAACGUCUUUUGUUCAAUGGAAGAGAAAACGGGUUACAGUAGGAGGAGGGCAUGGAGUUAAAUGGAAGAAAUGGCAACUUGUUUUGCUAUUUUAUUGUAACCGACUGAGUUAUAGAGAGAAUGCCACAGUCUGAGACUAAUUCAGUGAUCCUUUAUUGCCAGCAACCGAGAGACGGCUAGAGCUCAAAAUUCUCUCAGCCCCGAAGAAGGGGCUACACAUCUUUUUACACCUUGGUCUAAAGAGGGGAGGAGGAGUGUAGCUGAAGCAAUUUUUUACAGAAGCAGAACAGGCAAAAAAGUUGAAAGAUAAAUGGUUACAGAAACAGUAAUAAGAAAAUAAACAGUUCCAGGUGCAGGGGCUUAAAUUAUCACAAAGUGAUAAACGCAAAGGCUUUGGGCACCGUCAACCGAGUGCGUUCCCAGGAGCUGCUGGUACAGCUUGCCUCAGUAUCUUAUCAGUAAGCGCAUUCUUGGAUGUGCUUGGAGUCAGCUUGCACCAGUUAUGUCCUUAAGGGAGGGGGACAAGGGGCUGCAAGUGAAGAAACCAAAAUGGAGUCUGUCCAGCUCUCUCAGCUAAGAGAGAGUCAAUCAGGUUAAAAGAAGUUAGGGUAUCACAUUUCCCACUCGUGUUUGGGGGAAUCAGAUCAUUGAUUCCUCGGUUAUAACAAGGGUGUUAUAUUGGGUUCUAAGAUACAUAAGAUUGACAGAAGCUAUGCGUUGCUUUACAAAAUUAAGAAACCAAUUUAAUAUACAAGGCCUGAAGACUAACCCUAACAAGAGGAGGAGAAGGGGGUCCCGCCAACCCAGUAAUUAGAGUAGUUAGCCAGGGAUUCCAGUUAAACAUGCUUUGGUACUUUGGUACUCCAGGAAUGAGAAAGGUGGUGUUACUUUCUUGUUCCUUCUGGCAUCUAUCUAGAUUUUCUCGAACUCUUUGAAGAGUAUUUUUUAUGACUCCAGACUGAUUGGCAUAGAAACAACAACUUUCUUCUAGAGCUGUGCAUAAACCUCCUUGGGAGAUAAAUAGCAGAUCUAAGCCUCGGCGGUUUUGAAGAACUACUUCAGCUAGAGACUCUACCUGGGCAUGUAGUAUAUUUAUGGCUGAUUGGAGAUUGCUUAAAUCAGCAUCUACCUGUUGAGAUAGUGAUAUUAGUCCAGUUUCUCCUUGAAUCAGGGCAGUCGUGCCAAUAGCUGCUGACGUAGCUAUGCUAAGGCCAGCUAGAAGGGGUACAAGGAGUAGGGCAGCUCGGUGAAACCUGAAAUGCAAUUCAGGGGGAGCAAUGAGAAGUUGUCCUUCUGGCCCACUGUACAUGUAGAUCUGGGGGAGUACAUGAAUCAACAUGCAUAGGAGAGGUCCAGGUUCAGUCCCAUUGAUGCAGCGAGUGAGGCCUGAAAUGCAGGCCAACCAGGUAUUUUUGGGUGCCUGGUAGGAGACUGAGGGGUUUAAGGAAGUAAGGAGAGACUCACUACAAGUAGCCUGAAAGGGAGAAGCAGGUAAGUUAUACCUUGCGCUAAUUAGACAGAAGGCAUUCCCUGACACAUCUCCUAGUGUAAGGGCAUGGGGGCACGUAUGACAAGAAAGAGAGUCCAUUUUGAGCAUGGCUUCUACUCCUAAUCCAACAUAAUAUGGGGGUUUGGCCUUUCGGCACAACCAGCAAUCUCAGGCUAGUUUAGGCUUGGUGAGAUUAAGGAGGUGAUGUAUCCCGUCCAAAAUGGACAUCGGGCUGGGUUGGAGGUAUUGUCAUUGCAGCUGGGGUCUCAGAACCAGGAAUGGCAGUGGGACAGUUAAAUCGACUCUCUCUGGGUGUUUUUGGAACAUAGGGUCACCUAAAUCAGUUAAAGUUCUGAUUGGCUUCAUGGGACCAGGAAUUUUUUCUGGAUGGUGAACAUAGUUCCAACAUCAAAUCCUGAAAUAUAAAGCCUUAAUCCCUAUGACAUGCUGUAAUACCAUUGAGUUAAACUAGGGUUACGGAGAGUUAUAGUAAGAGGAUUACAAUUUCCUAUAGUACACGGCUUAGGAUGGGAAGCACAAGCUAUGGAAAGGGUUGAGGAUCAGGUUCAUCCUCCAGAGUAAGUGGCCAAGGUUACACACAUGCAGUAAGGGCAGAAAAACUGGUAAGAAUCUCGACAACUAGAGUCAGGGCGAUUUCCAGGACAAAGGUAAAAGUCAACGCUCUGGAGCCUUUUUUCUGCACCCUUAGAACUUCCACAUCCAGUUUGGCUUCUGGUGUGUCCGAACCCUGCAGCAAGGUCAGCGUUCCCUGCUCUCAUGAUCGGCAGAUUGCAUUGCUCUUCAAGGGUAUGGGCAGGGUCGGGGAACAAAGCACAUAAACCGACUACAAAAGAGACUUCCUUGGAGGGUCCCACCUUCCAAGUGGUGUUUGCAAACACACAUCCUGUCAUGAAGGAAGUGAGGAGAAAAGAGUAGGAAGGGGCAGAGGACAUAACAGGUGGAAACAGACAGAAGAGGUAAAUAAAAAGAAUUAAUUCGAUAGCUUUACUCAACUUAGGCGCAGUUUUAAGGGGCCUGGCCUAGGCUUGGGGACCCAUUUUUUUUGCUGGGCUUUGUUGGCCUUUUUGAUGCGAGAAUGAUGAAUCCAAGCAGGAGUGCCGUCCACCUUCAGAGCUGUUGGUGUGGUGAGGAUGACAGUAUGAGGUCCUUUCCAGGCAGGAGUCAGUCCUUUUUUCUGGAACUUUUUAACAUACACUAGGUCACCCAGCUGGAAAGAGUGGCAGGGCCCAGUCUGGUCAGGAACUGGGCUGGGGUGUGCUCCCCUGACAAGCAGCUGGAUGAUGUCUUGUACCCGUUGGAGAGACUGCAGGUACUGUAACAAGUUAGCUUGUGAGAUUUCUGCUAAAUGGGUAUCCUUUAGCUUAGGCAAGAUAGGCGGAGCCCUUCCAUACAUGAUUUCAAAAGGUGAAAACCCAGCCUGGUAAGGGGUGCAUCUUACUCUAAGAAGGGCUAAAGGAAGGAGCUUUACCUAGUUUUCACUGGUUUCUAGGAUUAAUUUUGCAAGAGUACUUUUUAGGAUGGGGUUCAUGCAUUCUACUUGUCCAGAGCUCUGGGGUCGAUAGGCACAAUGGAGUUUCCAUUGAAUGUUUAAUGCCUUGCUGACCGACUGAGCUAUGGACGAGGUGAAGGCUGGUCCAUUAUCAGACCUUAUUACAACAGGCAGUCCAUGUUGAGGGAUGAUUUCAUUGAGUAAAAGCUUAACUACCGUGGUAGCAGUUUCGUUUUUGGUGGCAAAUGCCUCAGUCCAUCCAGAAAAGGUGUCUACUAGCACCAGGAGGUAUUUAUACCCUGCCAAGUGUGGUUUUACCUCUGUAAAGUCAAUUUCCCACCUUCCUCCUGGCAAGCCUCCCUGGAGGCGGUGGCCUGGGCUGGGCUUAGGACCUUGCUUGGUGUUUACUUGGGCACAAGCCGUUUACUGGAGAGCUGCUUGGUUAGUUAAGUCCUGAAGGUGGGGGAUCUUGAAAUGGCUCCUUAGAAGCUGGGCCAGUUUUACUCCUCCUAAAUGGGUGGUAGAAUGUAGAUGAUUGAUAAAAGUUUCCCCAAGGGCUUGGGGCAUGAAGAUUCUGGAAUCAGGAAGAAUUCACCAACCUUCCUGAUUUUUACUGGCUUGAAGAUCCGAAGCUUGUUUUUCUUCCUCUGGGGAGUAUUCUGGGUAGUCUGCCCAGUCAGUUGUGGAAAGGACACAGAGGGCAGCAGGGUUAAAGGCACGACCAGGAGCUGAGCUGCCUCUCAAGCUGCAGAGUCUGCUCUUUGGUUACCACGAGCAAUGGCCAUGUCUUCUCUUUGAUGUCCUUUGCAGUGAAUUGCAGCCACCUGUUGAGGGAGCCAAACAGCUUCAAGCAGGGCUAAAAUUUCUUCUUUGUUGUUGACACUCUUUCCUGCUGAGGUAGGAAAUGCUGGGAAGAAAAAGCUGGGCCUUCUUGGCUGGGACCUGAUACCCGAAUUCCUGAAGGAGGUAAAGUAGGUCCGUAGUAUGUUGCAGGCAGCUGUCAGUAGUUUCAGUAGCCAAUAACAGGUCGUCUACAUACUGGAGAAGAGUGCAGUUAGGGUGACUGGCUCAGAAUGGUAAAAGAUCCUGUUGGAGGGCUUCCCUAAAAAGGGUGGGGGAAUUUUUAAAACUUCGGGGUAACCAAGUCCAGGUUAAUUGGGUGGUGUCUACCGAGCCAGGAUAUGUCUGUUCAAAAGCAAAGAUAGGUUGACUUUUGGGGCCAGAGGAAUAGCAAAAAAAAGCAUCCUUGAAGUCAAGGACAGUGUACACCAUAUGUUCUGGUGGGAGCAGGCUGAGUAAAGUAUAAGGGUUAGAGACAGUUGGAUGGACAGUGACUGUCUGCUUGUUACCUUCCUGCAAGUCCUGUACAGGCUGGUAAUCAUUUGUUCCGGGUUUCUGGACCGGCAAAAAUGGAAUAUUCCAGGCGAUCUCACAUGGUGUGAGUAUACCAGCUUGUAAUAGUUGCUGAAUAUGAGGAUUAAUUCCCUCUAUAGCCCACAGAAUCAUAGGAUAUUGUUUGACCUGGACCGGCAGGGUGGUGGCCAGGAGUUCUACAACAGCUGGCAGAUGGUGGUUUGCCAGUCCUGGGAGGUAUGAGGAAACAGAGUCUGUAAAGCCAGUAGGAGAGGAUUACUUUUAUUCUCCGGCAGUUGUGAGGGUGAAACUAAGAGAUAUUCCUCUGACCGAAGGGUGGUUAGCAGGAGCUGAGCAGUAGGGGGCAUUGUGUCCCCUAACAUGAGGUGAGUUUGUUGGGCCGAGAAGGAGAUGGACGCCUGUAGCUUAUGAAGCAGGUCUCAUCCGAGGAGGGAGAAGGGGCACUCUGGGACCACGAGGAACAAGUGGGUUACUCUUUUCUGUCCUAAACUCACCUCUCGUGAGUGGGUGACAGGAUAUUCCUGAAUAGCUCCAGUAGCCCUUUACUCAGCAACCUUUUUAUUAGACACUGCCUAAGGGUGUCUGGAGUACUGAGUGUUCCACCCCGGUGUCAAUUAGGAAGCGUACAGGCUGGCCCCCCACUGUGGUGGUCACCAUGGGUUCCCGGGGCCAAGUGACAAAGAGCCCUGGCCCCGUCAAUCAUCAGAUUCCUCUGCUGCGGGGCAGGGUGAGGACCUUUUUCUUUUCUGGUUUCUCCUCUGGCUUUAAUGGGCAUUCCUUUCUCCAGUGUCCAAUCUGCUUGCAAGAAGCACAUUGGUUUCUUUAUAGGGGAGUCCUCUCACGUUUCUGGCCUUCCUGGUGGGGACUCGGGGUCCCCUGGUCAGUGCUCUGUGAUGGGGGCCCUUCCUUUUUGGCUUCUUGGAUGGCAGCCACUAAGCUUUUUGCCUGUCUUUUUGAUGCUUUGUCUGCAGCCCUUUCAGCUGCCUGAGCUACCUGUUUUUGCUUUUCAAAUUCUCGAUUGUCGAAAACUCUCUGGGCUAUCUCUAAAAGCUGGCUGAUGUAAGGAAAUACUUUCUGGCUUCUCUUCAGAUAUGGUCCCUCUCUUCAGAGGUGAAAAGGGAUGAAAGGAGUUGCUGACACUCAUCCCAGGUGGGCCGAGUGUCCAGAGUUUGCCUUUUUUAAGGCGGACCCCGUAAUCAUCUGAGAAGCCUAGAGAGAAAUUCUGCAACAUACACUGGAGAGGACUCCAAUCUUUAUGGGGCCGGGAAGAAGAGUUUACUAUUCUGGAGGCAAUUAACAAGGUUUGAACAAAAAUAUUAAACCCAGCAUGGACAAAGAUAUUCACGGCCUGGGAGGCUAUGGUAUCAGAAGAACAGAAGUAUUAUAGCUAGAAGAAGUAGGAAAACAACUAUAGCCAAUAUUUCUUGCCACAUAAGGUCUGUCUCCUCAAGCUUCGAGAUCUAUGGAGAGGAUAAGAGGUGGGUCCAAGGGAUCCUCAGCCAGUGGGACUUAGGUGACCCCCCCUUCUUGACUUAUAUCCCAAAUAACUUUGGUGUCUCCACGACUCGAAAGCAAAAUGUUCAAACUCGGUCCUUUCCUUCACGGGUUUAAGGAGGGAGAACACAGCCAAGUCUUAGAGACGCUGGACUUGCUGCAACACAGGAAAAUGAGAUGUGCAGGGUAAGGGAUGGGGAUGAGGAGGAAAGGGGCCACUUGGAUUUCCCUAAAGGUUGGAGAGUAGCCAAAAGAGGUAAAAUAAGAGUCCAGACAGAGUAGAGCAGUAUGGGUGUAGGUUUCUCUGCACAGUGCCUUAUUUAAGGGCAUGGGAAAAGUUAUGGGAUGACAGAAAAGGUGAGUAAGGAGGUCAGCAGGGUGGCUAUUUUGGAUCCACCACUGGUCUAAGGAGAAGGUGGACCAGUCGUUGGGGCGUGGGGUAUGGCAAUCCAAACGCCAGCAAUCUUUAUGGUGCCAGAAAUCCUAAACGGGUGAAUGUCUUCCACACCCUUCCCCAUAACAACACCUAAUUUGUUUCUGACAGGAAAGGCAGGACUGGGAUGGCCAGCCCAACCGACUAAUGAGGAAUUUGACCUCCUGGGAUAGAAAAUCUGUACUAAGGACCUUGAAGAAGUCCUUGCCCAGUCAUUUUGGGCAGUAUCGACGAUCCGACAUAUGAAAUUUAGACAGACACUAAACAGGACAAUAGGCACUGGGGUAUAUAAACAAGCAUGGCAAUUUUUAUAGACAGACAAGGGGAGGGGGUCCCGUGAUGGGAUCAGUCAGAUGCCCUCCUGGCUGCUCCCCUUUCGGGGACUUAGGCUCCUCUUGGCAUUGGCAGGCUGGUAUAAACCCCUGGCUUGGAUCGAGCUAUGCCUGAUGCCGCCCUAAGCCUUAUGAGGUCACCACGGAACCACAGGUGAGGGCCUUCUCGAAUUCCCUAGCUUUCACCCUGGAGCUACAAACUGGAAAUUCAAGCGCAAGCCCUUGAACUCCACAUUCACUCACUCACUCACUCACUCAGAGUUUAUUACAAUUUUUAUACCCAUUCUAAAACAGAGAUCUCCCGGAGACCUGAAUGAGAGAGGGAGAAGAGAUAGAGAGAGAGAGAGACUAGACUUAACAGAGAAUCCUGACAGAAACCAGGACUCUGUCCUCCAGUGUCCUGGAGCAUGGACAGAGUCUGAGGGAGGACCUUCGUCAGGGCCGUUUCCCUCCCAGAGAGACAGAGUCAGAUCUGACUUACCUUCCCGGGACUAGAGACUGAGGACUCAGGAGUUGAAUUUGGCUGGGCGCACCGGCAGUCGAUCCGUUCCCCUCCAGAAGACAGUGGCCUGUGGAGCCCUGGAACGUCUUCAGGUGGCCCUGUAAGCCAGCUGUCUGUCUGGGGAAGCCCGGAAUGAGUCAGGUCUUCACCCGGUGGCGAAUCUCUCUGGGGCUUCCAAAUGUCGUAACCGAGCAAGUCAUAGAGAGAAUGCCACACUCUGAGACUAAUUCAGGAGUCCUUUAUUGCUGGCGACUGAGAAAGAGCUAGAGCUUGAAAUUCUCUCGGUCCGGAAGAAGAGGCUAGAGUUCUUUUUAUACCUUGGCCUAAAGAGGGGAGGGGGAGUCUAGCUGAAGCAAUUUUUUACAGAAGCAGAACAGGAAAAAAUUAAAAGAUAAAUGGUUACAGAAACAGUUACAGGAAAAUAAACAGUUCCAGGUGCAGGGGCUUAAAGUAUCCCAAAGUGAUAAAAGCAGGGGCUUUGGAUACCACCAACCAAGUGUGCUCCCAGGAGCUGCUGGUACAGCUUGCCUCAGUAUCUUAUCAAUAAGCGCAUUCUUGGAUGUGCUUGGAGUCAGCUUGCACCAGUUAUGUCCUUAAGGAGGGGGACAAGGGGCUGCAAGCGAAGAAACCAAGCUAAGACUCUCUCAGCUAUUGACUCUCUCGAUAUUGACUCUCAAUUGAGUCUCCCAAGCUAUUGACUCUCUCAGCUAAGAAAGAGUCAAUCAGGAUAAAACAAGAUAGGGUAUCACAAUUUGAUCUGCAAGAUUAUUUCCUGGACUUGUGAAAGGCGAGUCGUUUUGGUGCCCUGGGACAUGUACAAUAGCUAUCUCUUCUGGCAAUUGGAGAUUGUUGAGGACACGAGCAUCAGUUCUCUAUGAACUAAAUCUUGGCCUCUACUAUUGAUAAGAGCCCUCUCCAUCCAAAUUUUCCCAAAUGUGUGUGCCUCCCCAGAGGGAUACUUAGAGUCAGUAUAGAUAGAUUUUCUUGGUUUUGUAAAUGUCCUAAAGCUUGGCUGAGUGCAAACAGUUCACACCCUUGGACAGACCAAUUAUUAGACCCCCUUCCUGAUUUUACUUUUUUAACAGUCUUUCCAUUAAUCACUGAAUACCUAUUAUGUCUCUUUCUUUUAAUCACCUGGGAGGUUCCAUCUAUGAAUAAGUGCCACCCUGUCUUGAAGGGAGUUUUUCCUAAGUCUGGUUGAACUUUCGUAUGGUAAUUAAUUCGAUUUAAACACGCGUGCUCUCUCGUUUUACGUUUGGAUCCCCCGUUAAAGAGCCUGCUGAAUAAAGUGAAUUAUUAGUACUUAAUAUUAAAUCACCUUUUUCCCAGAAAGAUAGCCUCAUAUUUUAAAAUUUUUGAGUUGGUAAUCUCCCUCCUUGCGUUUUGAUUUAAUAUAGUUUUAACUUGGUGGGUUGUGGCCUGAAGCGGCUGGGGAGUAACUUGAAACCUCAGCUGAAGGGACAGCACAGGCUGGGGCGUGGCCUGAAACAGCUGGGGAGUAACCUGAAACCACAGCCGGAGGGACCUGAGAGGGGAACCAAAGGGGCAGGAUUGGGGGCGCUGAAGGAAGGAAGGUGAUUUAGAGGAUCCCAUGUCUUGGUAGGUAUGGGUUGUCUAGGCAUGGGAACUCUUUCCUUUUUAGAAAGGUUGGUUUCUGAUUUUCUCCCUCCAGAGUCUAAAGGGUAAAGGAGAACUGGUCCCUGCCGCCAGCAGAGGGCGUAAUCGAUUUUUCCUGGGACACAGGGCUCUUACUGUUAACAUAUUUGAUUAACAGCUGACAAAUUCGCUCUUCAUUAGACUUAAAUUUUGGCCAGAAAAGUGAGGGCUUAAGGAUGGGUUCUCGAACUUAAAUAAAACAACAAUAUUCUAUCAUCUGCUGUUUUUGUUUAUACUUGGUUCUCUUAUUAUUUUUUCAAUACUUUAGCAUAAGCCCCAAGGGGCUAUCAGAAGGAAAUUCAUCACUCUCUAGACUCUUUAGUUUUCCUGUCUUACUUGAAACGUUCCCCAUCUUAGGGAUUAUGGGGAGGAGGCCCAACCCCUCCUGUGAGAUUUCUACCCUCCCCCUUCCUGGAGGCUUACUGAGGCUUUGGGGAAAGGCUCCAACCCAACCUGUUUGGAUUUCUACCCUCCCCCUUCCUCUUUGUCUACUCUGUCUGUUCCUGACUCUAGUUGACAGAUGGCAGCAUGAGGCCAUAGAGAAGACUCACUCACUCCACAUAACCACCAUACUAAGUCCCAUUCAUACACUGUCAGCCUCCAGCUUAUCCCAACCACCUGGGAAAUACUUUGUCACCUUCGCCAAGUCUCCUACCUUAUUCCAUGCACAAGAAUUUCCUGGUCCUCUUAUUGUUGCGGUCUUGCAAGCUUCUCCUCCCCGCUUUGCUGAGAUCCAGACUUAUUUGUCACAAAGCGGGGGGGGGGCCCUGAUCUCCCUCAACCUAGGGGCACGGUAACUAGACAGUAGGAUGCGUCCCCUCCGGGUGGGGUGACCGAAGGCCCCCUUCCCAAAGGAGAAGAUUCGAGCCCCAAAGUUGGGCUCCAGAACUGUUAGGAAUAACGCUCAAAAUCUUAAGGAAAUUGAACACUUGAACAAAGGAUUCUUAGCAAAGCAAUUUUACUUCUGCGCAGAGAGGUGCCUCCUUGUCCAGUCGCCAUGAGAGCACACCUGAAAAAGGGGCACGAGAGCCUUUACUCCUGACACAAGUACUGCCCCUGUACCCUUUCUCCAUUGGCCAGGGUCAGGUCGUACAAUCUAAACUAAUCCUGGUUGGCUAAACAUUGGAUUUUUUUUAGAUAAGGUGGGCACGUAAAAAAGGCAGAGAAUAAAGGGGAAGGGGUGUCUGUAAUGAGCUAAAAAGUUAGUCCUCUUUCCAAAUAAGGAAAGGAAUGUGAGCAGGUACAGAUACCACCUGGUACUGUGGCAUGCCUGGGCAUGUAACAAAGGAAAAAAGAGAAAAAAGGAGAAAAAGGAAAAAAGGUGGAGGGAUUA